GUCUGGAGAGUGCUAGCAGACCAGGAGGGGACAAAGAGACAGCUGAAAUCACUUCCUCAGAUGUCAACCCAAAUAAGAGGUUCUAUCCUCCAACCACAGCCGAGCUCCCACACUGAUUACAAGUGGUCCAACAAUUGCAUCACUGAAAUGCACUCAGAAUCAUCCCCCAUGGCCCACCGCAAGCCCAGAGCCAUCAAUCACUGGGGCGGACUGAGCCUUGGCCAUAGCCAGUCCUGUGUGGACUGGUCGAAGAGAGAGCUGUGUCUAACCAAUAGGAAUGAUGAAUCGGAGCUGUGGAGCGACCAGAGUUAUUAUACAUGGAGAUGUGUGAUAAAAGGCUAAUCCCUCACUCUGCAUCUCAGCAAGGUUCUCUCUCGUCUCAGAGCUGGAGAUGAGUUGAGACCAGACCAGAUGAGAUGAGCUUACUGAAAGAUCCCUCCAGCCCUGCUGGGCCUAUAAAUAGUGAGAGGGUACGUCCCAAAGGGCACCCUAUUCCUUAUAUAGUGCACUACUUUUGACCAGAGCCAUAUGGGCCCUAGGGAAUGGGAUGCCAUUUGAGACUCAGGCACAGACUGCUUUUCAAACGCUGCUUCUUCAAACGGCUCAGGCGGACUAAUGAUAAAGAUGGGGUAGAGCAAGGCUUUAUUGAUUCUAUCCAUCACAUCUUGAGAGACACCGCUAUACGAUGGCGCGUUGAUGGCUGUGUGGGUCUCUGCUCGCUCUCUCUCGUCCUCUGUCUGCGGCGGCAGAAUCAAAAGAAAAGAGAACUUGAAAUGCCACUCCAGGGCUCCAGGCCUUUUAACCACAAGCCUUCUUUGCAGUCAGCAUGACAACAGCCUGUUUACUCAGUCACAAACAAAGGUGUAGAGUCCCGCAGAAAACUAGUUCUCCACUUCCCUGCUAUUUUCAUACAUAAAUUAUUUUGGUUGACUGCUACAGAGACAUAGCCUCAAGCAAAACUGAAUGUAUUGAUCAGUGGAAAAUUUCCUGAGUGGACAAUGUCUAUUUCUUCAGUGAGUAUCAGCUUUAAUGAAGUGAAAAUAUUGAGUGCUUGUUCUGCCAUGCCACAGAGCCUGAGAUCUA